rnacentral:misc_RNA from 1 species
GAUGAAGAACGUAGCGAAAUGCGAUAAGUAGUGUGAAUUGCAGAAUUCAGUGAAUCAUCGAAUCUUUGAACGCACAUUGCGCCCCUUGGUAUUCCAUGGGGCAUGCCUGUUCGAGCGUCAUUUGUACCCUCAAGCUUUGCUUGGUGUUGGGUGUUUGUCCUCUCCUUUGCGUUUGGACUCGACUUAAAGCAAUUGGCAGCCAGUGUUUUGGUAUUGAAGCGCAGCACAAUUUGCGAUUCUAACCGACUACACUUGCGUCCAUAAGCCUUUUUUAACUUUUGACCUCGGAUCAGGUAGGGAUACCCGCUGAACUUAAGCAUAUCAAUAAGCGGAGGA